rnacentral:rRNA from 1 species
ACGCUGGCGGCACGCCUAACACAUGCAAGUCGAACGAAGUAGCAAUACUUAGUGGCAGACGGGUGAGUAACAUGUAGGUAUCUGCCCUUUGGCCUGGAAUAACACGAGGAAACUUGUGCUAAUACCGGAUAAGUCUUUACGGAGAAAGCUUUAUGCACCAUUGGAUGAGCCUGCACUUGAUUAGUUUGUUGGUGGGGUAAUGGCCUACCAAGACUGUGAUCAAUAGCUGAUUUGAGAGGAUGAUCAGCCACAUUGGGACUGAGACACGGCCCAAACUCCUACGGGAGGCAGCAGUGGGGAAUCUUGCACAAUGGAGGAAACUCUGAUGCAGCGAUGCCGCGUGAGUGAAGAAGGCCUUUGGGUUGUAAAGCUCUUUCGUCGGGGAAGAAAAUGACUGUACCCGAAUAAGAAGGUCCGGCUAACUUCGUGCCAGCAGCCGCGGUAAUACGAAGGGACCUAGCGUAGUUCGGAAUUACUGGGCUUAAAGAGUUCGUAGGUGGUUGAAAAAGUUGGUGGUGAAAUCCCAGAGCUUAACUCUGGAACUGCCAUCAAAACUUUUCAGCUAGAGUAUGAUAGAGGAAAGCAGAAUUUCUAGUGUAGAGGUGAAAUUCGUAGAUAUUAGAAAGAAUACCAAUUGCGAAGGCAGCUUUCUGGAUCAUUACUGACACUGAGGAACGAAAGCAUGGGUAGCGAAGAGGAUUAGAUACCCUCGUAGUCCAUGCCGUAAACGAUGUGUGUUAGACGUUGGAAAUUUAUUUUCAGUGUCGCAGCGAAAGCGAUAAACACACCGCCUGGGGAGUACGACCGCAAGGUUAAAACUCAAAUGAAUUGACGGGGACCCGCACAAGUAGUGGAGCAUGUGGUUUAAUUCGAAGAUACGCGCAGAACCUUACCAACACUUGACAUGUUCGUCGCGACCUUAAGAGAUUAAAGUUUUCGGUUCGGCCGGACGAAACACAGGUGCUGCAUGGCUGUCGUCAGCUCGUGUCGUGAGAUGUUGGGUUAAGUCCCGCAACGAGCGCAACCCUCACUUUUAGUUGCCAUCAUUUAGUUGGGCACUCUGAAAGAACUGCCAGUGAUAAGCUGGAGGAAGGUGGGGAUGACGUCAAGUCCUCAUGGCCCUUACGUGUUGGGCUACACACGUGCUACAAUGGUAUCUACAACAGGAAGCAAAACCGCGAGGUUAAGCAAAUCCUUAAAAGAUACCUCAGUUCGGAUUGCACUCUGCAACUCGAGUGCAUGAAGCUGGAAUUACUAGUAAUCGUGGAUCAGCGUGCCACGGUGAAUGCGUUCCCGGGUCUUGUACACACCGCCCGUCACACCAUGGGAGUUGGUUCUACCUUAAGGCAAGGUUUCAAACCCUCGACCACGGUAUAGUCAGCGACUGGGGU